AUUGAACGCUGGCGGCAGGCCUAACACAUGCAAGUCGAACGGUAACAGAAAGCAGCUUGCUGCUUUGCUGACGAGUGGCGGACGGGUGAGUAAUGUCUGGGAAACUGCCUGAUGGAGGGGGAUAACUACUGGAAACGGUAGCUAAUACCGCAUAACGUCGCAAGACCAAAGAGGGGGACCUUCUGGCCUCUUGCCAUCGGAUGUGCCCAGAUGGGAUUAGCUAGUAGGUGGGGUAAAGGCUCACCUAGGCGACGAUCCCUAGCUGGUCUGAGAGGAUGACCAGCCACACUGGAACUGAGACACGGUCCAGACUCCUACGGGAGGCAGCAGUGGGGAAUAUUGCACAAUGGGCGCAAGCCUGAUGCAGCCAUGCCGCGUGUAUGAAGAAGGCCUUCGGGUUGUAAAGUACUUUCAGCGGGGAGGAAGGGAGUAAAGUUAAUACCUUUGCUCAUUGACGUUACCCGAAGAAGAAGCACCGGCUAACUCCGUG
rnacentral:rRNA from 1 species